rnacentral:rRNA from 1 species
CCUACGGGGGGCAGCAGUGGGGAAUAUUGGACAAUGGGGGCAACCCUGAUCCAGCCAUGCCGCGUGUGUGAAGAAGGCCCUCGGGUUGUAAAGCACUUUCAGUGAGGAAGAACGCCUGGUGGUUAAUACCCAUCAGGAAAGACAUCACUCACAGAAGAAGCACCGGCUAACUCCGUGCCAGCAGCCGCGGUAAUACGGAGGGUGCGAGCGUUAAUCGGAAUUACUGGGCGUAAAGCGCGCGUAGGUGGCUUGAUAAGCCGGUUGUGAAAGCCCCGGGCUCAACCUGGGAACGGCAUCCGGAACUGUCAAGCUAGAGUGCAGGAGAGGAAGGUAGAAUUCCCGGUGUAGCGGUGAAAUGCGUAGAGUUCGGGAGGAAUACCAGUGGCGAAGGCGGCCUUCUGGACUGACACUGACACUGAGGUGCGAAAGCGUGGGUAGCAAACAGGAUUAGAUACCCUAGUAGUC